rnacentral:rRNA from 1 species
GAUGAACGCUGACAGAAUGCUUAACACAUGCAAGUCUUUGACGAAUCUGUGCUUGCACAGGCUAGCCAAGGCGGACGGGUGAGUAACGCGUAAAGAACUUGCCCUGCAGACAGGGAUAACAGACGGAAACGACUGAUAACACCUGAUACAGUUGCCGGCACGCAUGUGCCUGGCAAUGAAAAGAGAUGCUGCAGGAGAGCUUUGCGUCCUAUUAGCUUGUUGGUGAGGUGACGGCUCACCAAGGCGAUGAUAGGUAGCCGGCCUGAGAGGGUGAACGGCCACAAGGGGACUUAGAUACGGCCCUUACUCCUACGGGAGGCAGCAGUGGGGAAUAUUGGACAAUGGGGGCAACCCUGAUCCAGCAAUUCUGUGUGCACGAAGAAGGUUUUCGGAUUGUAAAGUGCUUUCAGCAGGGAAGAAGAAAGUGACGGUACCUGCAGAAGAAGCGACGGCUAAAUACGUG